UACAGAGGUCUCAAGCGUUUGUUCGGAUUCAUUGGGCGUAAAGGGCGCGUAGGCUGCGGGGCAAGUCGGGUGUGAAAUCUCAGAGCUCAACUCUGAAACUGCACUUGAUACUGCCUUCUAGAGUACUGGAGAGGAGAUUGGAAUUUACGGUGUAGCAGUGAAAUGCGUAGAUAUCGUAAGGAAGACCAGUGCGAAGGCGAAUCUCUGGAC
rnacentral:rRNA from 1 species